GUGAGCGUAGCUCAGUCGGUAGAGUCCCGGAUUGUGGAUCCGGUUGUCGUGGGUUCGAGUCCCAUCGCUCACCCCA
rnacentral:tRNA from 1 species